rnacentral:rRNA from 1 species
UGAAUCAGUGUGUGUGUUAGUGGAAGCGUCUGGAAAGGCGCGCGAUACAGGGUGACAGCCCCGUACACAAAAAUGCACAUAUUGUGAGCUCGAUGAGUAGGGCGGGACACGUGGUAUCCUGUCUGAAUAUGGGGGGCCCAUCCUCCAAGGCUAAAUACUCCUGACUGACCGAUAGUGAACCAGUACCGUGAGGGAAAGGCGAAAAGAACCCCGGCGAGGGGAGUGAAAAAGAACCUGAAACCGUGUACGUACAAGCAGUGGGAGCACGCUUAGGCGUGUGACUGCGUACCUUUUGUAUAAUGGGUCAGCGACUUAUAUUCUGUAGCAAGGUUAACCGAAUAGGGGAGCCGAAGGGAAACCGAGUCUUAACUGGGCGUUAAGUUGCAGGGUAUAGACCCGAAACCCGGUGAUCUAGCCAUGGGCAGGUUGAAGGUUGGGUAACACUAACUGGAGGACCGAACCGACUAAUGUUGAAAAAUUAGCGGAUGACUUGUGGCUGGGGGUGAAAGGCCAAUCAAACCGGGAGAUAGCUGGUUCUCCCCGAAAGCUAUUUAGGUAGCGCCUCGUGAAUUCAUCUCCGGGGGUAGAGCACUGUUUCGGCAAGGGGGUCAUCCCGACUUACCAACCCGAUGCAAACUGCGAAUACCGGAGAAUGUUAUCACGGGAGACACACGGCGGGUGCUAACGUCCGUCGUGAAGAGGGAAACAACCCAGACCGCCAGCUAAGGUCCCAAAGUCAUGGUUAAGUGGGAAACGAUGUGGGAAGGCCCAGACAGCCAGGAUGUUGGCUUAGAAGCAGCCAUCAUUUAAAGAAAGCGUAAUAGCUCACUGGUCGAGUCGGCCUGCGCGGAAGAUGUAACGGGGCUAAACCAUGCACCGAAGCUGCGGCAGCGACGCUUAUGCGUUGUUGGGUAGGGGAGCGUUCUGUAAGCCUGCGAAGGUGUGCUGUGAGGCAUGCUGGAGGUAUCAGAAGUGCGAAUGCUGACAUAAGUAACGAUAAAGCGGGUGAAAAGCCCGCUCGCCGGAAGACCAAGGGUUCCUGUCCAACGUUAAUCGGGGCAGGGUGAGUCGACCCCUAAGGCGAGGCCGAAAGGCGUAGUCGAUGGGAAACAGGUUAAUAUUCCUGUACUUGGUGUUACUGCGAAGGGGGGACGGAGAAGGCUAUGUUGGCCGGGCGACGGUUGUCCCGGUUUAAGCGUGUAGGCUGGUUUUCCAGGCAAAUCCGGAAAAUCAAGGCUGAGGCGUGAUGACGAGGCACUACGGUGCUGAAGCAACAAAUGCCCUGCUUCCAGGAAAAGCCUCUAAGCAUCAGGUAACAUCAAAUCGUACCCCAAACCGACACAGGUGGUCAGGUAGAGAAUACCAAGGCGCUUGAGAGAACUCGGGUGAAGGAACUAGGCAAAAUGGUGCCGUAACUUCGGGAGAAGGCACGCUGAUAUGUAGGUGAAGUCCCUUGCGGAUGGAGCUGAAAUCAGUCGAAGAUACCAGCUGGCUGCAACUGUUUAUUAAAAACACAGCACUGUGCAAACACGAAAGUGGACGUAUACGGUGUGACGCCUGCCCGGUGCCGGAAGGUUAAUUGAUGGGGUCAGCGCAAGCGAAGCUCUUGAUCGAAGCCCCGGUAAACGGCGGCCGUAACUAUAACGGUCCUAAGGUAGCGAAAUUCCUUGUCGGGUAAGUUCCGACCUGCACGAAUGGCGUAAUGAUGGCCAGGCUGUCUCCACCCGAGACUCAGUGAAAUUGAACUCGCUGUGAAGAUGCAGUGUACCCGCGGCAAGACGGAAAGACCCCGUGAACCUUUACUAUAGCUUGACACUGAACAUUGAGCCUUGAUGUGUAGGAUAGGUGGGAGGCUUUGAAGUGUGGACGCCAGUCUGCAUGGAGCCG